GGAAGGAUCAUUAACACGUGCAAACGUAUUAACCCAACUACCUUCUACAACCCGUGAACACCCCCUACCUCCCCUGAACGAUUGGACAGUGCAAUAGUAGUAGGAUACAGCAGUUUUGGCUGUUGUAUGCAAUUGUAUUGUUCUAAGGUUUCGAACCUAAGAUCGGGCUGGAGAGGCUUUUAACCCUUUUUUCCCCUACUACAAACAACCAAACCCACCUUUUUCACCUUUGAAACGUCUGUUGACUGAUGUACGUUGAGAGUAGCUUCGUGCUACUGGAUCAACACCAUUUAUCAUAACUAAGCACAACUCUUAGCAGUGGAUAUCUUGGUUCUCGCAACGAUGAAGAACGCAGCGAAAUGCGAUAUGUAAUGCGAAUUGCAGAAUUCAGUGAAUCAUCAAAUCUUUGAACGCAAAUGGCGCUCUCGGGAUAGACCUGGGAGCACGCCUCUCUGAGUAUCGGUUCAACCAUCACUCGUCUGCGUAUUGGCACUCAACAUGCCGCGGUACGUCUCGACGGACAAUGAGAGUCUAAGCUGAACGGCUUUGUCUCUUGAAAUGCAUUGAGCUUCAACCUCCUAGUACUCGUGUCGUGUAACAACGACACUAGCCUCAGUGGCUUUUAUUCGAACUAGUGACGUGGAUAACAUCACGUAGUGAUACGAAACGUCGUAGCUGGUUCGAGUAAUCUCUGGUCACUUUGGCGAACUGCUUCGGUCGGUUGCGAGCGUUUGAAUUGAUUCCGUGCGUAGGCGAUCUUCGGAUCGUGUACUGUACGUAUUGACAUUAGAUCUCAGAUGAAGCGAGAAGACCCCCUGAAUUUAAGCAUAUUAAUAAGGGGAGGAAAAGAAACUAACAAGGAUUCCCCCAGUAACGGCGAGUGAAGCGGGAUGAGCUCAAUAUGAAAAUCGUGAACCCAGGCGGGUUUUCGAAUUGUAGCCUAGAGACGUGUGAUCAGCGAUAGCCCAGGUAUAAGUCCGUUGGAAGACGGCAUCAGCGAGGGUGAGAAUCCCGUGUUUGACCUGGAGUCUGUCGCGUACGAUGCAUGUUCAUCGAGUCGAGUUGUUUGGGAUUGCAGCUCUAAAUGGGUGGUAAGUUUCAUCUAAAGCUAAAUAUUGGCGAGAGACCGAUAGCGAACAAGUACCGUGAGGGAAAGAUGAAAAGAACUUUGAAAAGAGAGUUAAAUCAGUACUUGAAAUUGCUAAGAGGGAACGGCUGAACACCAGUGCUGCUGGUUGUCAUCUUGCUAUGAAUUGAUGAACGUGAUGUGUCGAGUUGGUAACUCUCGGUGCGUCAUGCAGAGGUCAGUUUGUGGUACUGUGGCGAUUGGCGUGUCAGAAUCGGUUCGACGCGUGAGAGAAGGCAUGUAGGAAGGUAGGGUGUUUCGGCACCUGUUAUAGCCUAUGUGUUCUAUCAUGUAUUGGACCGAGGAAUCAUGUUGCGCCUGCUGGCUUGAAACGAUGCUCCGUGUGUGCAUCCAGUGCGUGGAUAACAAUGUUAUGCUGUGUUGGAUGUGUGUUCUUGAGUGUCUGCUUUCCUAUGCAACAUCGUGAUUCUGACCAAAUGGUUUUCAUCCACCCGUCUUGAAACACGGACCAAGGAGUCUAACAUAUAUGCGAGUAUUUGGGUGGGAAACCCUGGUGCGUAAUGAAAGUAAAGGUAGUUUCGGCUGCUGAGGUAGGAAUCCCGCAAGGGAGGCACUAUCGACCGAUCAUCACUUGUGAAAGAUUUGAGUAAGAGCAUAUCUGUUGGGACCCGAAAGAUGGUGAUCUAUGCCUGAACAGGGUGAAGCCAGGGGAAACUCUGGUGGAAGCUCGUAGCGAUACUGACGUGCAAAUCGUUCGUCUGAUUUGGGUAUAGGGGCGAAAGACUAAUCGAACCAUCUAGUAGCUGGUUCCCUC
rnacentral:misc_RNA from 1 species